AUUGAACGCUGGCGGCAGGCCUAACACAUGCAAGUCGAGCGAGCGGCGGACGGGUGCGUAAUGUAUGGGGACUGCCCGAUAGAGGGGGAUAAAUACUGGAAAAGGUAUCUAAUACCGCCUACUAUAGGAUACCCCAUAUGGGAUUAGCUAGUAGGUGAGGUAAUGGUUCACCUAGUCGACGAUCCCUAGCUGGUCUGAGAGGAUGAUCAGCCACACUGGGACUGAGACACGGCCCAGACGCCUACGGAGGCAGCAGGGGGGAAUAUUUCACAAUGGGCGCAAGCCUGAGGCAGCCAUGCCGCGUGUAUGAAGAAGGCCUUAGGGUGGUAAAGUACUUUCAGUAGGGAGGCGUUACCGACAGAAGAAGCACCGGCUAACUCCGUGCCAGCAGCCGCGGUAAUAC
rnacentral:rRNA from 1 species